rnacentral:rRNA from 1 species
AUGUCUGGGAAACUGCCUGAUGGAGGGGGGAGUAACUACUGGAAACGGUGGCUAAUACCGCAUAAUGUCUACGGACCAAAGCAGGGGCUCUUCGGACCUUGCACUAUCGGAUGAACCCAUAUGGGAUUAGCUAGUAGGUGGGGUAAAGGGCUCACCUAGGCGACGAUCUCUAGCUGGUCUGAGAGGAUGAUCAGCCACACUGGGACUGAGACACGGCCCAGACUCCUACGGGAGGCAGCAUG